rnacentral:tRNA from 1 species
UAUAUUAUAGUGUAUGUGCAUAAAAAGUCUUGAGCUUUUAGGAAAAUUUUUAGUUUUUAAUAUAA